rnacentral:rRNA from 1 species
UACGUAGGGGGCAAGCGUUGUCCGGAAUCAUUGGGCGUAAAGCGCGUGUAGGCGGCUCAGUAAGUCCGCUCUGAAAGCCCGGGGCUCAACCCCGGGAGGCGGGUGGAUACUGGCUGAGCUUGAGUCCGGAAGAGGCGAGUGGAAUUCCCGGUGUAGCGGUGAAAUGCGCAGAUAUCGGGAGGAACACCAAUGGCGAAGGCAGCUCGCUGGGACGUGACU